AAAUCUUGUUUUGGUCAUUGUCUUAACAAACCCUAGUGUCUUUCCCAUGCUUCAUAUAAAGACUCCCCACUCUCUUGUUGGAAGUUAGCUGUUUUCUUUCUUGAGUUU